rnacentral:lncRNA from 1 species
CUCUCAUUGUGUUUUAUUUACCAGCUUGCUUUUAAAGAGCCAGGACCAGUCCACUAGCUGUGCAGAGUGCUGACCUCUUGGAUGAGAGCCCUGACCUCAUAGGAUAUCUGAGCUUGUCAUAAUUCAGGUGGGUUCUGUAGGGAAGCAGGGGCUCGUGGGGAGUGGGAGGAAGCUGGGGAGAAGAUGAGUUGAGAGCAGUCCAGUGUGAGGGAAAGUGGGGAUCCUGGGCCAACUUACCAUUAAGAGGGUCCAGUCCUGUGACUGCUGUGAAGUAACCAGGAUUCCACAUAGAGAUGGGGCUCAAAGUCAGCCCAGGAGCAGCACUGUGGUCCCAGAACUAAUAUUUGGCGACUCCAAGGCCAGGGAUAAAAAUGAAGAGAUGGAGAGACAAGAUUUCCUGGCCUCUAAUUGGCAGCACCCGUUGACUCUGCUCGUGACCAGACUCAUGAACGCUUCAUCCAAGGUUUCAUGUCAUCCGUGUGAGGAACCUCUCUGAUUUGAGAAAAUCUUUCUUAAAAUGGGCUUCUAGUUGUAAAGCCAUUGUCUUUUUAGGAAAUCAUCAAAUACCUUAAAGCUAGACACGCAAUCAGCUGCAUAAAUGACACACUCACUAAAUCAAUCCUUUAUCAGGUGGUCCUUCAAGGAUUUCUUGGUUUUGGGUUUUGAAAUGUGUAAGGUUUGCUGCUAGCAACUCCACAUUUUUUUAUUCACUCACAAAGACACAUGGUCAUAAAUAAAAUGCAUGGAACCAGCGAGACAAUAGCACAGCAGUAAUGUCAUUUUAUAUGCAGCAUGGCCCUGUUGUGAACGGAAUGAUUGUGAACGGAAUGAUGGCCAAGGAGCUUUAUGCUUCUGCACCGCCAGCUCACACGAUGGUCCGUGUAUUGCCCCGUGGAAAACCGGGGGUGGAAAGCUGUCUCCACGUUCUGCUGCCGAAGCAGCAAGCUGAUUCACACAUCUUGAAGGCACAGUGGAACAUGGAAGGGUGCAUAUGAGACUUGAUUUUGAGGAUGAAACUUCCUGUCUGAAUCGCUAAGUCUCCCAGCAGGGGUGUUAAUGUCCCUGUGAGAUGCAGGCUUCCCACAGACACACCCAGGUUGCGAGUGGGUUCAACAUGGUCACAGGAGCUUCAAAUGGUGAUCCUGAUGCUCAUGGCCAUGCAUUGAGAACAACUGUGUAAGAAGAUAUGGAUAAUGCUUGAAAACUACUAGUAUUAGCACCAUUUUGAUGCCUAAGGACCCUGCCUUGUAUUUCUGUAAUGAAAGAUUACAGACGCAAGAUUUAUUAUCUUUACA